rnacentral:rRNA from 1 species
UAGGGAAUCUUCCGCAAUGGACGCAAGUCUGACGGAGCAACGCCGCGUGAGUGAAGAAGGAUUUCGGUUCGUAAAACUCUGUUGUUAGAGAAGAACAGCGCAUAGAGUAACUGUUAUGCGUGUGACGGUAUCUAACCAGAAAGCCACGGCUAACUACGUGCCAGCAGCCGCGGUAAUACGUAGGUCCCGAGCGUUGUCCGGAUUUAUUGGGCGUAAAGCGAGCGCAGGCGGUUAGAUAAGUCUGAAGUUAAAGGCAGUGGCUCAACCAUUGUAGGCUUUGGAAACUGAUUAACUUGAGUGCAGAAGGGGAGAGUGGAAUUCCAUGUGUAGCGGUGAAAUGCGUAGAUAUAUGGAGGAACACCGGUGGCGAAAGCGGCUCUCUGGUCUGUAACUGACGCUGAGGCUCGAAAGCGUGGGGAGCGAACAGG